AUUGAACGCUGGCGGCAGGCCUAACACAUGCAAGUCGAGCGGAUGAAGGGAGCUUGCUCCUGGAUUCAGCGGCGGACGGGUGAGUAAUGCCUAGGAAUCUGCCUGGUAGUGGGUGAUAACGUCCGGAAACGGGCGCUAAUACCGCAUACGUCCUGAGGGAGAAAGUGGGGGAUCUUCGGACCUCACGCUAUCAGAUGAGCCUAGGUCGGAUUAGCUAGUUGGUGGGGUAAAGGCCAACCAAGGCGACGAUCCGUAACUGGUCUGAGAGGAUGAUCAGUCACACUGGAACUGAGACACGGUCCAGACUCCUACGGGAGGCAGCAGUGGGGAAUAUUGGACAAUGGGCGAAAGCCUGAUCCAGCCAUGCCGCGUGUGUGAAGAAGGUCUUCGGAUUGUAAAGCACUUUAAGUUGGGAGGAAGGGCAGUAAGUUAAUACCUUGCUGUUUUGACGUUACCAACAGAAUAAGCACCGGCUAACUUCGUG
rnacentral:rRNA from 1 species